UUUUCUUCAAAUCUUCCUCUCUUCUCUUAUGGGAGCUCCUGAGCAAUUGAGAGCAUACCUUUGAGUUCUUUUCAGUCCCUAGGACCACUUGCCUUAGAGGCAGUGUCUGCCUGGUGCUGGCUAUGUCAGCUCUAAGCCUUCACCCCUGUGAGUUGUAUAUGAACGAAGAAGACUAACAAAGAGUAUGGCCAAGACAAUGAUUGAAGAUGUUGGGAAUAUGAUGACUGAUGAUGGAGGUUAGGUAGUGACCAUUAGUGUUUUUUUUUAUAACUAACUAGGUUAGAACC
rnacentral:lncRNA from 1 species